AUCCAAGUGCAUGGGCGUUUUCCUUCUCCGUGAAGCGAUAAGCUGAGAGAGGAAUUUUGCUAGUUGAAAACUAUACACUGACCGCUCCUUGUUGGGUUCGCCUGGCAAGGGAAUUUUUGGAACUCUUUAUU
rfam:Fusarium oxysporum f. sp. lycopersici 4287 chromosome 4, whole genome shotgun sequence.